rnacentral:tRNA from 1 species
GGUAAAAUGGCUGAGUAGUAAGCAUUAGACUGUAAAUCUAAGGACAGAGGGAUUGCCUCUUUUUACCA